UGAAGUUCUGAGAUUACAAGUGAAGAUGAUUCUCCACUACCCAAACCCCCUUCUCAAUGAGGAAUAAUUUCGGACUCUGUUUGACAUGCUGCAAAGCUCACCAGGGCAUCAUCUUUAGGAGAAAGGAUACAUCAUGGAUCUUCAAGCUGUAGGGGAGUUUCCAUUGGUACAUUAAAAAUAUCUUUAAAGGCCAGGCGCAGUGGCUCACA